rnacentral:rRNA from 1 species
UACGAGGGGGGCGAGCGUUGUUCGGAAUUAUUGGGCGUAAAGGGUGCGUAGGCGGUUUGGUAAGUCUUAUGUGAAAUCUACAGGCUCAACUUGUAGUCUGCAUGAGAAACUGCCGGGCUUGAGUAUGGGAGAGGUGAGUGGAAUUCCUGGUGUAGCGGUGAAAUGCGUAGAUAUCAGGAGGAACACCUGUGGCGAAAGCGGCUCACUGGACCAUAACUGACGCUGAUGCACGAAAGCGUGGGGAGCAAACAGG